GCAAAGUUGUUUUGAUGCAUCCUGUGAUGUUUAUUGCAAAAAUAUGUGUGAAGUGACAUAAAUUGGUUGAAAGGAUUCUACAAGAACAGAUUAGGCAUAGUUUUGCGGGCAAAAGUAUAGCUAUAUGUCGUGUUGAUUAGUAUAUUGACCUUGUUGACGUUCUCCCGAAAUGGUACUCGCCUACUGACACCGUUGUGAUCUAUCUCAGAAGUUUAAUUUCUACGGUAAUCCACCAGAGUCCAAGAGUAAACUCUCAGAGAGGGGUGGCAGUCCGAUUUUGUCAGCUUACUCGACUUGGAGAGGGAAGAUAAUGUACAUUUGGACAGUUACAUUUGACCAGAAUGUAUGCGAUGGGCUGCAUCAUGGUUUUGAAGGAAAAGGUUACACUAUUUAUUACAGACAGCAAGAAAACAUCAUUGAACACCACCAACUAAUAAGACUCCAAAGGAAUAAUGGAAAAUAAGAUAUUUAAAGCUGUCAAAAAGUAGAGAUUAGAGUUCAGUGGAUUCCAUGACGGUACUUUGGAUAAUGUUAAUCAGGCAGAAAUUCUUUUCCAAAGGAUCUUAAGUGCUUUUAGAAGAGGCUAAUAAACAAAGGACAGUCACUUACUACAGAAGAGAAGCAGUGGAGAUUAGUAAUAUUCUGAGCGGCAU